AUGCUUGCUUCAGCAGCACAUAUACUAAAAAUUGGAAUGGCACAGAGAAAGUUAGCAUGGCCCCUGCACAAGACUGACAUGCAAAUUCAUGAAGUGUUCCAUAUUAAA
ensembl:snRNA U6 U6 spliceosomal RNA